UGGGGAAUCUUGGACAAUGGGGGCAACCCUGAUCCAGCCAUGCCGCGUGAGUGAUGAAGGCCUUAGGGUCGUAAAGCUCUUUCGCCUGUGAAGAUAAUGACGGUAGCAGGUAAAGAAACCCCGGCUAACUCCGUGCCAGCAGCCGCGGUAAUACGGAGGGGGUUAGCGUUGUUCGGAAUUACUGGGCGUAAAGCGCACGUAGGCGGACCAGAAAGUUGGGGGUGAAAUCCCGGGGGCUCAACCCCGGAACUGCCUCCAAAACUAUUGGUCUAGAGUUCGAGAGAGGUGAGUGGAAUUCCAAGUGUAGAGGUGAAAUUCGUAGAUAUUUGGAGGAACACCAGUGGCGAAGGCGGCUCACUGGCUCGAUACUGACGCUGAGGUGCGAAAGUGUGGGGAGCAAAACAGGAUUAGAUACCCUGGUAGUCCACACCGUAAAACGAUGAAUGCCAGUCGUCGGGUAGCAUGCUAUUCGGUGACACACCUAACGGAUUAAGCAUUCCGCCUGGGGAGUACGGUCGCAAGAUUAAAACUCAAAGGAAUUG
rnacentral:rRNA from 1 species